CGUCAGAUUACCACUAAAGAUAAGGUUUAUAACGAAUGUGUCAAGCAAAAUUUUCACUUUGAUGAAGAUAGCGAAGGAACUAUCAAGAAAAAUAUUUUGAAAAAUAUGGGGAAGUCUUGGAAGGAAACAAGGCUGAGGUUGUAUGAUGAUUUUUAUGAGCCAGCAUUCACGACUGAACAAAAUAUUGAACAUCGCCUGUCGAGAAUUGAUCGAGAGCAUUGGAGAUGGUUCCUUGACUAUCGCACCAAAGCUGAGACGAAGGAGAAGUGCAGAAAAAACACGAUCAAUCGAUCAAAACAACUAUAUACCCACACUGGCGGUUCGAAAAGCUUCGCACGGCGGAUGGAAUAAGAGGUACUUU